UACAGAGGGGGCGAGCGUUAUUCGGAAUUAUUGGGCGUAAAGGGCGCGUAGGCGGCCAUUCAAGUGACGGGUGAAAGCCCUCGGCUUAACCGAGGAACUGCCUGUCAGACUGGAUGGCUUGAGACCGGGAGAGGUGAGUGGAAUUCCCAGUGUAGCGGUGAAAUGCGUAGAUAUUGGGAGGAACACCGGUGGCGAAGGCGGGUCUCUGGGCCGAUAUUGACGCUGAGGAGCGAAAGCGUGGGGAGCAAACAGG
rnacentral:rRNA from 1 species